GAAGUGAGGCUAGAGUGCUCCCCUGGCCAUACCUGAAAGGGCUUUGUGAGGCAAUCUAAGGCACUGGAAUUUAUCCUGCAAGUCAUGAGACACAGCUGGAUUCUGGGGACACCACCAUGGAAUAUCAGAAAUUGCUUCCAAACAUAAGAAGAUGCUAGAGACAAAAAAGUAUGGCAUCCUGCUGCAAGAAGUGUCACAUUUCAACACCCAUGUGUUCCAUCAUAAACAUAAUGAAGAAAACUCGUAGCAUUUCUACUUCCCAAAUUGGAUGACUCUGUUUGAUUUUCAGAAUCACCUUCACACCCAGAGCACAAACUACAAAAUAAUCUGGAAGUGUUUCUGAUAGGGCCACAGCCUUCACAAAGUCUGCAUCUGGAGGUAAGAAAGUCAACCUACCAUUUUUACUACUGUGGCAAACAGCAGCAUGUAGUCUAGAAAAUAAAUCUUUUGUUCAUGAAUAUAGCUUGAACUCAGUUUAAAUUCUCAGAGCUGACUAACUUGCUGAGUUCUUGUUUGACUUGUUCACCUAUCCUAGCCUGAGUACAAGUUUUCAUCUUUAACAUUAAUCUCUUGUCUCACAUACCUAUAAUUACCCAUUUUUUAAAAUUACUUGAAAAUAUGCUUUAAAAAUAAAUUAUAUGUGUAUUAUUCAUAUUUUUUAUUUUAUUCCACAUAUGAUUUCAUAUCCAUACACAUAUGUAGAACCAAGAAAUGUUAAGGUUGUGGAAUCUAGCCCUUUCAAAUUUAAAAGUAUCUUUUGUCAAUAAAAAAUACUUCUUUCAAUAAAUAUAUAAGUCUAUGAGAAAAGAAUAGUAAAAUUUACAUACAAGCAAAAUUCAACUUAUUACUACAUAAGAAUUUAUAGUUUUAUACUAGCAAUAAUAAUGAGCUGCCACAUAUUUCUUUGCUUUUUUGCAUAAAGUAUUGAAUUUGAUGUUUUGAUAUAUGCAUGAACCUGUAAAAUCACUUCAUAAUCAAGAUAAUGAAGUCACUUGUUACCCUCAAAAGCUUCCUGGAAUUCUGUCAUAACCCUUCACUUCCGUCCCUCCUCACUCUUUCUCUACCAUCUGCAGCCACUCAACUACUUUAUUACAGAUUUGUUUGCAUUUUUAUAGAUAAAUACGAUCAUAUAGUAUGUAUUAGCUUGACUUCCUGUUUAAAAGCACCAUAAGGAUCAUGAAAUUUGCUCAUAUUUUGUAUGCAUACUUAUAUUUCAUUGCUUAGUAGUAUUCUAGCAUUUGAAUAUACCACAAAUUGUUUAUCUGUUUACUUGUUGAUAGAAAUUUGAGGUUGUGCAUACUUCUUGGCUAUUAAAGUAUUACAUAUUUCUAAGAAGAUUUUCAGUAUUCUAAACAAUUUUUUAAAUAAACACACGUAAUUGAUGUGUUCAUAUAGUGUGACUGAAAGCUCAAAACAAAGUAAUUCUAUAAUAGGACAAUUGAUGCUCUACUUGACACUGGUCGUGAAUUUCAAGAUUCAUUCAUUCCCUGAUUAGCCCAAGUGCUGGUGACCAAUGAAGAGACAGGAUUAAGGAACCUUUGAGUAGUUAAUUCUCAAAAAUAUCUGAUUAUUUAGAUAUAGAUAUUAAAGACCAAAAUUAUACAUUAUAGUAGACAAAUGAGACAUCACGCAGGCAAUGGGUUCACUGAAGCAGCAAAGACAGCAAAACUUAUACUGCUGCCCUGAGUCACACACCAUGGCAAGUUUCA